rnacentral:lncRNA from 1 species
UGGUUAAAGUAUCAUUAGAAUGAAUUUCUCAAUCUAGUUAACUAGUGCUCGAAUAUCACAUCAACUAUUAAUCAACAUGUGAUAAUGUAUCAGUGCAUAUCAUGCAACCAAAAUCAUAAUUUUAUUCAACCAUUGUUGAAAUAAAUGAUUCAUUUUCAUAUUAUAACACUUUGAUAUGGUUAAAAUGAUUUUCCAAGAGUACACA